UACGUAGGGUGCGAGCGUUAAUCGGAAUUACUGGGCGUAAAGCGUGCGCAGGCGGUUUUGUAAGCCAGACGUGAAAUCCCCGGGCUUAACCUGGGAAUGGCAUUUGGGACUGCAAGGCUCGAGUGCGGCAGAGGAGACUGGAAUUCCUGGUGUAGCAGUGAAAUGCGUAGAUAUCAGGAGGAACACCGAUGGCGAAGGCAGGCCUCUGGGCUGACACUGACGCUCAUGCACGAAAGCGUGGGGAGCAAACGGG
rnacentral:rRNA from 1 species